rnacentral:pre_miRNA from 1 species
UACAUACUUCCUUCGUUCAAAAAUACUUGUUCUAGAGAUAAAUGUAUCUAGACUUAUUUUAGUUAUAGAUACAUUUAUUAUAUUUAUCUUUAAGACAAGUAUUUCUGAAAGGAGGGAGUGCAAG